GAAUCCUUUUCCCUCAUAAUCAGAGAGUCAUAAUCACACAACUCUGUGCCACCACCCAACCUGCCAAUUUCCUCCCCUUCCGUCCACGUCACUAAAAGGAAAGACAGCCUCUCCACAAAAGUUGUCUGUCCCUUCAGGCAUGGCAAUGACGAUUCAUGCUGGUCCUUUGCAUGUUCCUGAGAGGAUGCCAACACCUGCAGUUUUGCCGCCCUGUGUUACCUCGAGGGGAUUCAGAGGAUGCAUGGACUAGAAAGUAAACGGAUGGGGAACACAGGGAACUUCAGCUGCAAUAAAAGUACCUCUGUAGGAUCCGACUUUCCCCAGUCUGGGGAGCCUACCCAGGCUUGGGUGUUUGUCUUCCCCGAGCAGAACCUGCGGGUGCUUGUUGGGGCCGCGCUGGGCCUGAGGAUGAUGGAGACAGGU